GUCUUCUCGCUGUGUGGUGGAGAAGGCACAUGGUGGAAGAGAUUGUCUACAGCUCCUUUCAUGCAACAAUGGCAGAAAUGAAUGUUUGCAACAGAGACCAGAAAGGACUAAAAUGUCUGGGCCUUUGCAGAAAAGUCUGUGAAUCUCUGGCGUUGAGUAAUUCUGUAAUAUCAGCUCAUUUCAGCAUACAUCUUAUGAUCAGGAGAGUUUAAUACGGAAGAAGAAUGAUACUAGAUCCAUUUUUGAUGUCACACACACAAAAAAAAACACAAGCCAACAGAACUCAUGGCCAACAUCACUAGAACUCAUGCCUGAAUGAAGCUUCUCUAAUACAUAUGUUAUUUCCAUAAGACACACCAUAGACUUCUUUUGCUUCGGGACACAACACGG
rnacentral:lncRNA from 1 species